rnacentral:rRNA from 1 species
CCCUUAGAUGUUCUGGGCAGCACGCGCGCUACAAUGGUCUUCGCAAACGGAUGCAUUCUCGAAGGAGAAUGCCAAUCUUGGAAUCUAUGCCUUGGUCGGGACAGUUGCUUGCAAUUUUUCGACUCGAACCAGGAAUUCCUUGUAAUCGUGAUUCAUCACAUCACGAUGAAUACGUCCCUGCCCUUUGUACACACCGCCCGUCGCCCCUACCGAUCGAAGAGUUAGGUGAAUUGUUUUGAUCGAUAAGAUUUGACUAUGGUCAACUCUCGUUGUGAAAUUCUGUGAAUCUGACUGUUUAGAGGAAGGAAAAGUCGUAACA